rnacentral:rRNA from 1 species
AGUGAACGCUGGCGGUAGGCCUAACACAUGCAAGUCGAACGGCAGCACAGUAAGAGCUUGCUCUUACGGGUGGCGAGUGGCGGACGGGUGAGGAAUACAUCGGAAUCUACUUUUUCGUGGGGGCUAACGUAGGGAAACUUACGCUAAUACCGCAUACGACCUACGGGUGAAAGCAGGUGAUCUUCGGACCUCGCGCGAUUGAAUGAGCCGAUGUCGGAUUAGCUAGUUGGCGGGGUAAAGGCCCACCAAGGCGACGAUCCGUAGCUGGUCUGAGAGGAUGAUCAGCCACACUGGAACUGAGACACGGUCCAGACUCCUACGGGAGGCAGCAGUGGGGAAUAUUGGACAAUGGGCGCAAGCCUGAUCCAGCCAUACCGCGUGGGUGAAGAAGGCCUUCGGGUUGUAAAGCCCUUUUGUUGGGAAAGAAAAGCAGCAGGUUAAUACCCCGCUGUUCUGACGGUACCCAAAGAAUAAGCACCGGCUAACUUCGUG